rnacentral:tRNA from 1 species
GGAUAUAUAGCUCAGUGGUAGAGCACAUGCUUAGCAUGCAGGAGGUCCUGGGUUCAAUCCUCAGCAUCUCCA